rnacentral:lncRNA from 1 species
UUAAUGCAUCCUAAGACGAGUCUAAACUUGGAAACCUCAUAACUUUUGAACCGUGAGGAACUACGUCGCCCAUAGCACCAUUUCGGAAAGCCCCAGAAACCAUAAUGGGCGGUGAAUAGGCGGCGCCAAUUUUUCGGGCUCAAAUUCACCCGUUUUGACCCUCAAACGGGCUGCGGAAAGUUUUGGCACGCAAAAAAGAUCGAAAGCGGAUUCUCAGGGUGUUUUUGAUGCUUUCUGAACGCCAUUAACCUCGACGCACUUUUUCGCUCGAAACAAAUUGGCAAGAAAAUCAUGUGGGUCCCACGGCCUCACAGGCUGCGAAAAGGAUAUGUAGAAACGAGAGUGAUGUACUGACGGGUGCGAUCAUACCAGCACUAAUGCACCGGAUCCCAUCAGAACUCCGCAGUUAAGCGUGCUUGGGCGAGAGUAGUACUAGGAUGGGUGACCUCCCGGGAAGUCCUCGUGUUGCACCCCUUUUUAUUUUUUAAUUUUUUUUAAUGCAUCCUAAGACGAGUCUAAACUUGGAAACCUCAUAACUUUUGAACCGUGAGGAACUACGUCGCCCAUAGCACCAUUUCGGAAAGCCCCAGAAACCAUAAUGGGCGGUGAAUAGGCGGCGCCAAUUUUUCGGGCUCAAAUUCAGCCGUUUUGACCCUCAAACGGGCUGCGGAAAGUUUUGGCACGCAAAAAAGAUCGAAAGCGGAUUCUCAGGGUGUUUUUGAUGCUUUCUGAACGCCAUUAACCUCGACGCACUUUUUCGCUCGAAACAAAUUGGCAAGAAAAUCAUGUGGGUCCCACGGCCUCACAGGCUGCGAAAAGGAUAUGUAGAAACGAGAGUGAUGUACUGACGGGUGCGAUCAUACCAGCACUAAUGCACCGGAUCCCAUCAGAACUCCGCAGUUAAGCGUGCUUGGGCGAGAGUAGUACUAGGAUGGGUGACCUCCCGGGAAGUCCUCGUGUUGCACCCCUUUUUAUUUUUUAAUUUUUUUUAAUGCAUCCUAAGACGAGUCUAAACUUGGAAACCUCAUAACUUUUGAACCGUGAGGAACUACGUCGCCCAUAGCACCAUUUCGGAAAGCCCCAGAAACCAUAAUGGGCGGUGAAUAGGCGGCGCCAAUUUUUCGGGCUCAAAUUCAGCCGUUUUGACCCUCAAACGGGCUGCGGAAAGUUUUGGCACGCAAAAAAGAUCGAAAGCGGAUUCUCAGGGUGUUUUUGAUGCUUUCUGAACGCCAUUAACCUCGACGCACUUUUUCGCUCGAAACAAAUUGGCAAGAAAAUCAUGUGGGUCCCACGGCCUCACAGGCUGCGAAAAGGAUAUGUAGAAACGAGAGUGAUGUACUGACGGGUGCGAUCAUACCAGCACUAAUGCACCGGAUCCCAUCAGAACUCCGCAGUUAAGCGUGCUUGGGCGAGAGUAGUACUAGGAUGGGUGACCUCCCGGGAGUCCUCGUGUUGCACCCCUUUUUAUUUUUAAAUUUUUUUUAAUGCAUCCUAAGACGAGUCUAAACUUGGAAACCUCAUAACUUUUGAACCGUGAGAACUACGUCUAAGACGAGUCUAAACUUGGAAACCUCAUAACUUUUGAACCGUGAGGAACUACGUCGCCCAUAGCACCAUUUCGGAAAGCCCCAGAAACCAUAAUGGGCGGUGAAUAGGCGGCGCCAAUUUUUCGGGCUCAAAUUCAGCCGUUUUGACCCUCAAACGGGCUGCGGAAAGUUUUGGCACGCAAAAAAAGAUCGAAAGCGGAUUCUCAGGGUGUUUUUGAUGCUUUCUGAACGCCAUUAACCUCGACGCACUUUUUCGCUCGAAACAAAUUGGCAAGAAAAUCAUGUGGGUCCCACGGCCUCACAGGCUGCGAAAAGGAUAUGUAGAAACG